CCACUGACUACGUAGAAUGUCCAAGGCUUUACAGGCUUUGGCUGAGUCAUGACAGUUAGGCCUUCUUCUGGACAGAACCAAAAGAGCCACGGAACAACACGAGGAAAAGACUACACAUCGGAUAUGAAACUCCACAUUGUAUUCUGUCUCUAUGCUUCGCUUAUGCUGUCUGGAAUCCAAUAUUUUUCCAAUGGUCAAAACCCGCGACAGAUGGCCAUGUGUCCUUUCACGUUCUUUUGCCCGUGCAUGGAGUCUUGUCCCAGGGAUGGAUACGCCAUGGGGUACUGCUUUCUAAACAUUGCAAUCAAAUGUUGCCCUGCCUGGAUUGUAAACUUGUGUGGACGUUCUAGAAAUAUGGUUGAUCCUUGACAAAAGAACGAGAGUCGCUUUUAAUUGUGAUGGAACGAGCAACUUUUGGUUCCAGUGAGUUGCAUGCAAACAGUUAACGAGAUAUUUUUACUGUGCAUAUGAUUUAAUAUUUUUACACGUAAUACACUCGUUUUCGAUUCCAUUAUACUUUUGAAUGUGAAACACAAACUAUUGCCCUCUUGGUGUGUUUGAGUAUCAUCGAGUGCAGAUAUGAUAAGAAGGUCAUCCAUUAAAAAGGGAUUCCUGGACAAUUUGCAAAAAAAAACCAAUCAUGUGGUUAGAAGAUUUGCAUAUGUGGGAAGUUAGUUUUUUUUUAGCAUUGACUAUUGUUUUAGCAAAAAACUGGCAAUAAACAUAAAGCUUGUGUUGACAUGAUACUUUAUCAAAGACAAAUGGUUUAUUAAAAAAGAAUGCAGCAAUAUUCUGUAUCUCACCUUAAAUAUGAUUUCAUCGCUUAAAGACGAGUGGAUCAUGAAAUUAAAUCCGCCCUUCACCAUUGGAACCAUAUUUCAAGAAGAAAUGCUUUGAAUAUUUAUAGUGAGAUUCAAGAGCAGCAUUCCAUAUUUAUUAGAUUUAAUAUAUGCCCUCUGCGUUUUUGUCUCUAUACAUGUGCGAUUAAUAAAAUAUUCUUC